rnacentral:rRNA from 1 species
AGCAGCCGCGGUAAUUCCAGCUCCAAUAGCGUAUAUUAAAGUUGUUGCAGUUAAAAAGCUCGUAGUUGAAUUUCGGGGUUAGUAGGUUGGUCAUGCCUCUGGUAUGUACUGGUCUCACUGAUUCCUCCUUCCUGAUGAACCUUAAUGCCAUUUAUUUGGUGUUUUGGGGAAUUUGGACUGUUACUUUGAAAAAUUAGAGUGUUUAAAGCAAGCUAACGCUUGAAUACAUUAGCAUGGAAUAAUGAAAUAGGACGUUCGAUCCUAUUUUGUUGGUUUCUAGGAUUGACGUAAUGAUUAAGAGGGAUAGUUGGGGGCAUUAGUAUUCAAUUGUCAGAGGUGAAAUUCUUGGAUUUAUUGAAGACUAACUACUGCGAAAGCAUUUUUGCCAAGGAUGUUUUCUAUUAAUCAAGAAUGUAAAGUUAGGGGAUCGAAGACGAUCAGAUACCGUCGUAGUCUUAACCAUAAACUAUGACCGACUAGGGAUCGGAUGAUGUUUAAUUUUUAAUGUACUC